rnacentral:rRNA from 1 species
UGGGGAAUUUUGGACAAUGGACGAAAGUCUGAUCCAGCCAUGCCGCGUGCGGGAAGAAGGCCUUCGGGUUGUAAACCGCUUUUGUCAGGGAAGAAAAGCUUUGAACUAAUAAUUUGGGGUGAUGACGGUACCUGAAGAAUAAGCACCGGCUAACUACGUGCCAGCAGCCGCGGUAAUACGUAGGGUGCAAGCGUUAAUCGGAAUUACUGGGCGUAAAGCGUGCGCAGGCGGUUCUAUAAGACAGAUGUGAAAUCCCCGGGCUCAACCUGGGAACUGCAUUUGUGACUGUAGAGCUGGAGUGCGGCAGAGGGGGAUGGAAUUCCGCGUGUAGCAGUGAAAUGCGUAGAUAUGCGGAGGAACACCGAUGGCGAAGGCAAUCCCCUGGGCCUGCACUGACGCUCAUGCACGAAAGCGUGGGGAGCAAACAGGAUUAGAUACCCCCGUAGUCC